ensembl:vault_RNA Vault Vault RNA
AGGGUGGCUUUAGCUCAAGCGCUUGCUCCAUCCCCUUGGACUUCCAAUUCCUCUACUGGGGUUCGAGGCCCACAGGUACUUUCUGACCCUUUU